CCAACUGAUCCUCAGUUUCCCCAUGGAAUGAGGACAGUAAUGGUUGUAGUAACUGACUCAGAAGACUCUUAAGGAAGUUGUUUAUAAGUCUUAAAGCAUUUGUAGUUAUGAAAUGUUUUAUAUUAUAUUCAAUAACUUAUAUGACAGAUGGAUAUUUAAUAUAAUAUCCCCUUGUUCAUAGAGUUUAGAUCUGGAAAGAAGCUUAGCAGGCUUCUAGUCCAAACUUAACCCUUUGUUUUACAGAAAAAGAAACUGAGGCUUGCCAGAUGUCACACAACUAUUCAGUAGCAGAGUUGGAAUUUGAACCCAGAGCUCCUAACCCAGACUCUACUGAUUUUAUAAAUGAGGAAACUGAGGCCAAUGGGAUGAAAUGAUAUAUGCAGGAUCACUCAGCUAAUAAGUGUCUAAGGCUGGAUUUGAACUCAAGAAGAGGAAUCUUCCUGACUCCAGACCAGACCCAACCAACAAGCUCUUGUAACAGUCCCAGUGUGAUGUGAUGAGAAUCUGCCCCAGAGCGACGGUGGUGUUCAAGGACAGAAGAGGAGGCAUUGAGAGAAGCCGUGAAGGUAGAAAUGACAAAACGACAAGCCAUUGGAUAAGAUGGGGUGAGUGCCGGGGAUGAGAAGGGGAUGCCGCCAGCACCAUAAGCCUGAGUGACUGGGAGAAUGAUGGUGCCCUCAAUGGGCGUAAGAAAAUUGGGGAAGGGAGAGAUUUGGGAGAAAAAGUCAUGAGAUCCGUGCUGGCGGUGUCCAUGUGAGAUAUCUGCAGGAUUUCCAGUUUUAGGUGUCCAAAUGCCCAUUUUUGAUGUAGGACUAGAACUCAGAAGAAAGCCUAGAGCUCGAGAUAGGAACCUGGGAAUCCUGGGUGAAGAGAUGCUCAUUGAAUCCAGGGGAACCGAGGAGAUAACCAAGAAUUGAAUAAAGGGAGAAGAGAAAGAGGAGGGCUUGGGACAGACUCACUAUUAGUGAGCCCUGAAGGAAGAACCAGAAAAGGAGAUGGAGAAGGAAGAACCAGAAAAGUAAGGAGGAGAGAACCUUUGUUGAGAGAUCCAUAAACUUCAGAGAACAGGCAUUUAAUGGAUUUCUGCUUGCUUAAUUGCAUUUAGUGGGCACCUAAUAAAUGCUGACUGGCUGAAUGAAUACAUAGACACCAACAUGGUGGAGGACAUCUAGGUGAAAUCCCACAUUGGUCACUUAGUCGCUGUGUGACCCUGGACAUGUCAUUUAACUUUAUUAUGCUGGAGAGUCUUCAACUCUAAAAUAAGGCUGGACUCGAUCAAUCAACCUAUCAAGGAUCAUUUAUUAAGCGCCUACUAUGUGCCAAGGGCUGGAGAUGCAAAUACAGAGAAUGAAACAGUCCCUUCUGGGAAGGAGGCUAGAACUAUGAUGCAAUCGUCUUUUUACAUUGAAGGAAUGUCGAGGGUCAGGGAGUUGCUUUGGAGAGCAGGAAGAGUGUGUGUUGUGGGGGAGGGGAUUAGGGGGCCUUUUUGCCCAGAGAUGGGACUUGGGGGUCCUGAGUUCAAACCCAGGGGGCGGGUGGCUCACCACUCCAUGUCUCCGGUGGGUCUGGGAGCCCACUCCUGGCUCUAGGCCUCUGGGGCUGAGAACUUUGGAGAGGAAGGAGCUGGAGAAAGAGGGGGUCGGGCGGGCACCAUCCUCGGGGUCUCAGGGGUCCCAGGCCUCUCGUGGGGAGGCAGAGGGAGGGGGUGGAGGCCAGACUGGAGGCCAGUGCCAGCCUUCUAGCCACAGGCAGGCAGGCCCUGGGAGCAGUGGCCGGCCAGCGACCCCUUUAAGACAGCCGGGGGCGGGCGGGCAGGCGGCUUCUCUUUGCUUGGUGAAACUGUUCAGUUUUAGGGCAGGCCGGGGAGGGGGCAGAGGGAGGGAGGGCACACCUGUUGUGGAACUUGAGAGAAGGAUUAUUUAUAAAUGUUCAGAGCUCGGGAUUCCUACAGGGCUGAAAGGGCUGCUGUCCGCAAGGGGAAGGUCACCGAAAUGCUUGUUUAUUAAAGCUGUGGCAACUGGGGGAGCCAUAACGGGGCAAAACGAUGAAAUUAACAAGCCAUCUGAGGCGGGCACGGCCAGGGCAUGGCACUGCCUGCCCCAGGCGCCGGGCGACCGGGCCAAGGCCAAAGCCCUGCCUGAUGCCAGCACCCUGCCCCCAGCCCAAGCCAGCCCAGCCCAGCUGUCUGUGCCCCAAAGCACCGGCCCCCCAAACGUGGCACCCCAAAUCUGAGAGGGGCUGCUCCCUCACUGCUCCAGUUCACAGAAGGUGCCUCCUCAUGCCCUUCUGGAAGCACCAGCCAAUCGCCCUUCCCUGGGCUUCAACUGCCCCCCCCCACACUUCAGGGACUGCUCCCCCAAAUUUUCAUAGAGUGUGUUAGGGAUCGGGGUGUCCUUUUUCAACUCUGAGGCUGGAAGAGUAAUCCUAUUGGAUGAUCCCCCUUUUCUUGGGAGGAACAUUCUAGAGGGACCUCUGAGAAGCCGCAGGGAGUGGGGAUCCCGGCCCCCACCCCCACCCCCAAACCAGCUCACUGUUGAAAUCCCCAUUUCAGGAAAGCUCUGUUUUCCUCUGGUGACUGAUAGCAGAACAGGUGGUCUCAGCCUUAGCAAGUGUCAGAUGAACCAGCCAGCUCACAGGGGGCAAUUCGCAGCUCACUUUCGCUCCGAGACAUGGGUCCUCGCUGGGUCCCUGUGGUCACCCCCUCUUUGCUCUUCCCCGACAUGGCCCGGACGGAAAGUGUGACCUCAUCCUUCCACACACACGUUCACCUCAAACAAUCGCACACGCUCACAUGGGCAGGAUCCUAAUUACACACACUCAGAAGUUCACACUUGCAGGGGUAACAUAGGCGGGCACCGAGACAUGCUCACACAUAUGGGCCUAUUUGUACAAAAUACCCAGCCUUCACUCUGCAGCCCACUUUAUUGAGAACUGCUCUAUACCUAACCCUAUGGCUGGCAUCUCUGUCUGUCCAUCCGUGCCUGCCUGUCUGUCUUUUUCUCUCUCCCUCUUUCCCUCCCCCCUUUCUCUCUGUCUGUCUGUCUUCCUGAUUCUCAGUCUCUCUCUCUUUCCCUCUUUCCUUCUUUGUCUCUAUCCCUGUCUCUGUCUAUCUCCUUUCCCCUCCCUUCUUUCCCUCUCUUUUCUCUCUUCUCUUUCUCUCUCCCUCCCUAUUCCUCUCUGUCCCUCUGUCCCUCUCUGUCUCUGUCUCUCCCUGUCUCUCUGUGCCUAUCUGUUUGUCUUUUUUCCUCUCUGUCCCUCUCUCUCUCUUUCUCCUCCCCACUCUCUCCCUCUCUCUCUUCCUCUUUCCCUCCCCCCUUUCCCUCUCUGUCUGUCUGUCUGUCUGUCUACAUGAUUCUCAGGCUCUCUCUCCCCCUUUCCUUCUUUGUCUCUAUCCGUGUCUCUGUCUAUCUAUCUCCUUUCUCCCCCCUUCUUUCUCUCUCUUUUCUCUCUUCUCUGUCUCUCUCUCCUCCCCCUCCCAUGUCUCUGUCUGUCUGUCUGUCUGUCUGUCUUUCUUCUAUCUUUCCUAAUUUGUUCUCUUCCUCCUAUGUCCCCCUGUGUCUCUGUCUCAGGCCGUGUCCCUCACCAGCACACAAGCCCAAGCUCGGUUCUCUUUCAGACCACCUCUUCCAUGAAAUAUGAGGCAUAUUCCUCACGUCAUAUCUAUUUUCUCCCUCAACCUCAUGGCAAACAAUUUUUUUAAGAGGAGCUGAAUUUCUGCUUGUCACUCCUGGAAACAGUUGUGGGGGAUUGGUCCGUAGAACUGUCACGCCUCCAAAGUUGCUCUUUGGCUGCUGAGAUACUUCCACUGUCCCUCACACGCACAUGUACAUGCACACAGACACAUACACACAUAUACACAAACCUACACUGCAGUGUGUGGACAUAUAGAUAUGUAUUCUCACCCACACACAUGCUUUCCUGCCAGUGAGUGGACCUAGCUGGGAGCUGGGAGCCUGGUUGACAGGGAGGAGAACAUGGUCUUUAGCUUCCUAGCGCCAUAUUCAGAUGGGACGUUCCCCUCACUUUGAGACAAGGCCCGGCAGAACCCAGGGUGUCACUGAAUCCCAGAAUCUCUGAGCUGGGAGAGAACUCAGGGAUCCCUACAUUUAAGCCCUUGCCCCUUCACCACACCUCCAAUAAGGUUCAUCCAGCCUUUGUGCGGACCCUUUUGACGGUCCAUCUGAUGAAGCCAAAAUGGACCCAUCCUCUGAAUGAUGUUUUUUAAAUGAAUAAAAUAAAGUGCUCAGUAGUACAAGGGACACCGAUGAGAUUGAUAUCAAACAUUUUUUAAAAUUCCAACAAAUCUGAUGGCACACACUUGGAAUUCCAUACCUUGGAGGGGGGAGGCUGAGUACGGUAGAUCUCUUGAGUUUCAUCUAUUGGGCUAUGCCAAUGGAAGGGCUACACUGCUUGGCACCAAUAGAAAAUAAUCAUAAUAUUUAUUAAGCACCUACUAUAUGCCAGGCACUCUACUAAAUGCCUUACAAAUAUUACCUCAUUUGGUCCUUGUGAUAACCCUGGAAUGUAGGGACUUUUUACAGAUAAGGAAACUGAGGCAGGCAGAGGUUAAGUGACUUGCCAAGCUACAAAGCAUAUCAGAUUGGGUUUUGAUUUGGGUCUUCCUGAUGCCAAAUCCAAUGCCUCAGUGAUCUCCCAGAAAGGAGAGGGGGUAAGGCACUGGGUACACAGACUCAGACCAAAGUUGACUUGAUAAUCAGUAGUGGGAAGGGGGUGUCUGCAUUUUCCCCCAGCCUGGGAGAUAUGGGGAGAUCCAGCCUUUAAAAACAAAAACAAAGGCAAACAAACAAAAAUAUUUAGGGGACCCCUGGCUAAGAGCCCCCCAUUAGAUCAUUCAGACCCUCAACUUGGACUGAUCAGUGAGAAUCAGCUAGCGUUGGGCCAUGGAGAGUUUAUUUCAUCAAUGGACAUCAUACUCUUAAGGCUUCACCAUUGUAUGUUUAGAUACCAUUUUAAAGAUUAUAGAAGAGUUUCUUCUCAUAAAAGCCCUGUGAGGUAAGUAGUACAAAUAUUCUGAUCCCCAUUUUACAGAGAAGGAAACUGAGGCUCAGAGAAAGGUGUGAUUUGCAGUAGGCUAUGCAGUAAGUGUCCGAGUUGGGAUUUGAACCCGGGCAUUGUGAUUCUAGGAUACAUCAACUGUAGAAAAUACAAUAUAUUUUUCCUGUACCUCGAGAACCCAGGGACACCUCCACACCCUGAUGAGACAUCAUAGGAGGAUUGUGGGGGAGGAAGUUUUCAUUUAUUCACUCUAAUUUAAGAUGUUCUGUGCUAAUAAUAACCUCAGAGUCUGCACAGCUCAGAGGGCUGAGGUUUGGCCUUGGAGGUCUGGCCUUGGAGUGAGGAAGACCUGCAUUGAAGUCCUGCCUCUAAAUGGCUCUGUGAUCCUGGGUGUCUCUGGGCCCCAGGAAACUUGUGAAGGCUUUAAGGGACAGGGGCAGCUAGGUGGCUCAGUGGUUAGAAAGGCGGGCCUGGGUUCAAAUCUGACCUCGGAUAACUUCCUAGUUGUGUGACCUUGGGCAAGGCAAUUAACCCCAUUUUCCCAGCCCUUAUCCUUCUGUCUCAGAAUUGAUACUAAGAUGGAAGGUAAGCGUUUAAAAAAAAACCCCAAAGGGGGCAGCUGGGUAGCUCAGUGGAUUGAGAGCCAGGCCUAGAGAUGGGAGGUCCUAGGUUCAAAUCUGGCCUCAGCCACUUCCUAGCUGUGUGACCCUGGGCAAGUCACUUGACCCCCAUUGCCUAGCCCUUACCACUCUUCUGCCUUGGAGCCAAUACACAGUAUUGACUCCAAGACGGAAGGUAAGGGUUUUAAAAAAAAACAAAACCCAAAGACUUUAGGAGACAUUCCAGGGUUGUGGCCCAUGCCCACAAUCCCAACAAUUGGUGAAUGGAUCACUUGAGUCCCAGAAUCCUGAGCGCCAAUUUGGCAGGCCCCCAGGGAAUGGGGGCCACCAAGCUAUGUAGGGUGGGAUAAAUUGGUCCAGUGUAGAAAUAGGGCAGGUCAAAGCUCCAGUGUCCAUCUAGAAGGCCACUGUGCCCAUGAGAAGCCACUGGACUUCCAGCCUAGACAAGAUAGGGAAUGGGGGGAAUUUCCUCACUGAGGAACAAUAACAAUAAUAUCCAUUUCAUUUCAACUUGUGGCCUGCGUGUGGCUCAGAGAAGAGGCUAUUGGAUGGACCAACACAGCAGGUCAGGCUAACAGAUGGAACUGGACCACGAGUCCUGUCCAUCUCCUGUUCCCCUUAAGCAUCUCUUCGAGCCACAGGCCAUGGGUCUAUCUCAGAUCCCUUCCUUUCCCCCCUUUGCCAGACCAGCCUCAUUCCACAGUAGAGUGGGCAGAAAAUGCCUUUGGAGCUGGAAAACCUGGCUCCAAUCCUGGCUCUGCAACCUAGAGAUUGGCUGGGUGCCCUUUGGGCUGUAGAGUUACCUUCUCUGUAAAAGGAGAGGAUGGAGCUAGAUCAGAGGUAUCAACCAGGGGACAAUCUUGAGGGCUGCCUAAAUGAGAUUAAAACAGAAUCAGGAAAUAUUUGACAAAACAAAUGAAAAUACAAUAGCAUGUAGAUAAUGUUAAUUGGUGGUUUUCUAAGUCAAUGUGCUGCCAGGCAUCCCUGCACAGUUUGGCAUUCCCUAUUUCUGUAUAGGGGCAGUUAGGCUGCACAGUGGAUAGAGCUCCCAACCUAGAAUCAAGAAGACUUAUCUUCACGAGAUCAAAUCUUGCCUCAGACACUCACCAGCUACAUGACCCUGGGCAAGUCACUUAACUCUGUUUUGCCUCCAUUUCUUCAACUGUAAAAUGAACCGUAGAAGGAAAUGGCAAACCACUUCAGUAUCUUUGCUAAGAAAACCCUGUAGGGAGUCAUGAAGAGUCAGACACAACUUGGAAAUGACAGAGCAAGAUUUCUGUUUGAUUGGCAUUACUGUACUAGAUGAUCUCUAGGAUCCUUUUUAGCGCUGAAAUUCUAUAUUCUAAGAUCUCUUCCAAUGAUUAUAUUUUAUGUCUUAACAUUUCAUGUUCUAAGAUAUUCUCAAUUUCUUUAAAAAUGUUUUCCCUUAAUUUUUAAUAUUCUGUGUUCUAAGGGUCCUCCCAUCUCUGAUAGUCCAUGUUUCUAAGGACCCUCCUUGCCCUAACAUUUCAUUUUUUUUUAAACCCUCACCUUCCAUCUUGGAAUCAAUACUGUGUAUUGGUUCCAAGGCAGAAGAGUGGUAAGGGCUAGGCAAAGUGACUUGGCCAGGUUCACACAGCUGAAGUCAGACUUGAACCCAGGACCUCCCAUCUCUAGAUCUGGCUCUCAAUCCACUGAACCACCCAAUUGCCCCCAACAUUUCAUUUUCUAAGGAUUCUUCCAGCUCUGACAUUUCAUAGUCUCAAGCCCCUUUUAGCUUUCAUAUUCCCCAUUCUAAUGUCUCCUUUACCUCUGAAAUUCUCUAUUCUAAGAUUUCUUCCAAUUAUAAUAUUCCAUGUUUUAAGAUCCCCUCAAUUUCUAAUUCUCUGUGUUCUAAAGGUCUCAGCUUUGACAUUUUAUGUUUCUAAGGUCUCUCCCCUGAUGUUCUAUGUUCUAAGGGCCUUCCCAGCUCUGAAAUGAUUUUUUAUUUGAAAUUUAUUAUUUAAUUAAUUUAGAAUAUUUUUUCAUGAUUACAUGGAUCAUGUUCUUUCCCUUCCCUCUUCCUACCCCCUCUUAUAUCCAAGGAGUAAUUCCACUGGAUUUUACAUGUGUCAUUGAUCAGGACCUAUUUCCAUAUUAUUACUAUUUGUACUAGAGUGAUCCUUUAGAGUCUACAUCCCCAAUCAUAUCUCCAUCAACCCAUGCGACCAAGCAGUUGUUUUUCUUCCGUGUUUCUGAAACUAUUUUCUAAGAUCUCUUUCAGCUUUCAAAUUUUCUGUUUGAAUUUCCUAUCUUCUGAGAUCCCUUUAAAUUCUAAUAUUCUUCAAAGGUCAUAGGCAUUCUAUGUUCUAAAGUCUUUUCCAUUUCUGAAAUUCUGUUCUAAGGUCUCUUCCAGCUCUGAUAGUCUGUGCUCUAACUUAUUAUAUCCUGAGUCCCUUGAGAUCUAACAUGCUUUGUCCCAAGGUCUCUUCCAGUUCUUCUGACAUUCCAAGUUCUAGCUUUCUGUUUUCUAAGUCCCCAUCUCAAUUUGUAUAAUUGAUGCACUCUCGGGUCCAUUUCUGCUCUACCAUUUUAUAUUUGAAGGACCUUUCUAUUCUGAAUAACCAUUCUGAUAUUCUAUGUUCUAAGGUCUCUUCCAGCUCUAACAACCUAUAAUCAUUUCAUCUAUCAUCAAAAAGCCACCUUGAGCCCAUAUAGGCCAAGGGUCAAAGCCUCUGUUUCGUCACACCCUUUGGGGCAGAUAUGGGACAGGCCCAUCAUGGCUCAUGGCCUUUGUAGCUCCCUUUGAGGAGACUUGUUUUUGUGGGGGAUAGGUGCUGCUGAACAAAUAAUGGAACUUCCCCCUGUAAGAUUGUGCUGUAUCUGUGAGUCCGGGGUUGGCAGCCUGGGGCAUGCAGCCAGCAAAGGCAUAUGAGAUGGUCUGGAAUGCCAGGCACUCAGUUGAUUUGAUGAGCAGCUCGAAGAGAUAGAUAUAGACCCACCAGGGAACAGUAACCAUAUCCCCACAGGGAUAUGGGAACUGCCAGUAGACCUCAAAAGAAGAAAAUAAUCUGAAACCUGGGGUUCUCAGAUUCAGAAGGGACCUCAUGAUCUACCUAAUGCAAACCUACCAUUUUAGAGAUGAGAAGACUGAGAUUCAGAGAGGUUAAAUAAAUUGCUCAAGGUCAAAUUUGAACCCAGGUCCUCUGACUUGAAAGCCAUUUCUGUUUCUAUUCUGUCAUAUACCAGGAAAGUGGAAAUGUUGCACAAAAAGAGUUAUAUUAAUUAGAAUUAGAAUAUGAACUCAUAUAAGACCAAAGGCCAUUCUCCAGAAGAUAAGAGGUCAAGGAAUAUGAACAGGAAGUUCUCAAAAGAAUUGCAAACUAUUAACAACCACAUGAAAGAAUGUCCCAAAUGACUAAGAAUAAGAGGAAUGCAAAGUAGAAUGUAGCUCCAGUCUCAAACUCCAAUGGUAAGGGACUCUGCCCAUUGGUGGAGAUCAAUGCAUUGCUCUUCUUGAAGGGUGGGGAGCAGUUAGAGGGAGAACAGUCAUAAAAACAACACUGAAUUGCUAAGGAUGAUAAAAGAUGGGAACAGUUUAUGUUGGAGGGCAUGUGGGGAGACACAUGGUGCACUGUUGGUAGAGCUGUGAAUCAGUAUUUUGGAAAGCAAUUUGGAAUUAAGUAAAUAAAGUGACUGAAAAGUCCAAAUUCUUUGACUCAAAAUUCUAUUACUAGAUUUAUACCCUGAGGGGGCCAUUGAUAAAAAAAAAAUAUUCCCUGCAUAUAUCAAAGGAGAAUUUUUUUUUUUGCUAGUAAUAAAAGAUUAGAAACAAAGUCGAUGCCCAUCCAUUGGGGAAUGGUUAAACAAAUUAUGGUUCAUGGAUAUAAUGGAAUUUGACUAUGCUGCAAGAAAUGAUGAAUUGAUGAUUCUAGAGAAGAAUGGAAAAAUCUACAUGAACUAUUGCAAAGUAGAGUAGGCAGAGCUGAGAGAAUAAUAUACAUAAGGGGCAUUGAGGUGGCUCAGUGAUUGAGAGCCAGGCUCUGAGAUGGGAGGAAGGUCCUGGGUUCAAAUAUGGCCUCAGACACUUUCUAGUUGGGUGACCUUGGGCAGAUCACUUAACCCCCAAAGCCUAGAUCUUACCAUUCUUCUACUUUGGAACCAGUACUUGAUAUUGAUUCCACGAUGGAAAGUAAGGUUUUUAAAAUAAUAAUAAUAAUAUGUACAAUGAUUACAUCAAUGGAAAUGGAAAGAACCACCCCCCAAAAUAAAAAAUGAAUGUAGUCAAAUUAUCAAGAAUCAUAGACAUGUCGGAGCUGGGAAGGGUUUCUGAACAUGGGAUGGCUGAUUCUAGAUCCUAGAAGGCCGAUCCACUAGAAGAACCGAAGAGCCAGAGCUAGGAGGGCCUAAUAGAAUUGAAAGGGACCUUGGAGAUGAGCUAGUCCUCAUCCCCCAGUUUCUCCACCUCUCUGUUUAGUUCAAGAAGGCAUUGUUGUGUGGAGAGCAUCAGACUGGAGGCAGGGGACCCGGCGUUCUAGUUGUAAUCCUACCAUGUAGCCCUAUGUAUGAGGGCUUUGUACAACUGUGCAAAUAAGUGUGAAAAAAACUAUUGCUAGCGUAGUAGUCUAAAAUGACUCAAGGAAGGGGAGAACGGUAUUUAUAUGUAUUUCUAUGUAGACUGUUCAAAGCCUUGUUGGUGUUUGUCCUUUGUUUUCAAUGGUUGAUGUCUUGACUUAUGCCUGAAUUGGAUUUCAGUAAGGCAGAGUUGAACAAAGGUGUCAGCCUCAAGUCAUCAGAGUUCAUUGGCAAGACAAAAGUCUGGAGGCCGGGUGUUAGCCGGGUGAUCUGGGCCAUGAAAUUUCUUCUCUGCCCAAUGAGAGAUUAAACUGUCCAGAGUCUCUUCCAGCUCUAAAAUCCCAUAAUGAUUUCUAGGAUGCUACGGGGUGGGAUGUAGGGAGGAGUUAAAUAAACCAUUUCAAAUCCUCCGCAGGAAGCUAAGGACAGAACUGCCUUCAGAUGGGAGACUGGAUGGGUCUAUGAUCCUACCUUUUAGAUUUGGAAAAGACCCAAGUGAACAUCUAAUUUCUUUUCCUUCCUUCCUUUCUUCCUUCCUUCCUUCCUUCCUUCCUUCCUUCCUUCCUUCCUUCCUUCCUUCCUUCCUUCCUUCCUUCCUUCCUUCCUCAAACCACUGAUUCCAUUAAUAUUGAGAAUUCCUUGUGUAAAAAUCCCCUUUUAAUGCAGAUCUGCAAUAUUUACUCUGAAGAAUUGCCUGAGAAUACUGAUAGGUUAUAUGAUUUGUCCAUGGUACCACAGCUAACAUGUGCCAGAGGGAGGGUUUGAACUCACGACUUCCUGAUUCCAGGAAGGUUGGAACUCUUUCCACUAACCUUGUUGCCUCUCUUUCAACUAGUCUAAUCCCCUCAUGUUACAGAGGAGGAUACCUGAGGCCAAGAGUGGUUAAAUAAUCUGCCCAAAUUCACACAAGUUGUAAGUAGCAGAGGCAGGAUUCAAUCUCAAGUCUUUGGACUCCAAAUCCAGGGCUCUUUCUACUGUACCACAAGGCCACUGAGCGGAGAGGUACAGGAUGACUUGGUAUCUGUUGCUCAGGGAGUUUAUGAAUACAGCCAGAGUCUUCUUAACCAGACUUAACCUCCUUAAAACAGGCAGUAGCAUCCCUCCCUAGACUCAGGCAGGGGUAGGAACAGUAAAGAGCCUUCCAUAGCUAUUUAUUCAUUGAUUGUCUAACUAAUUAUUUUGUUUUUCCAAAUGAUGCCAAGCUGGGAGGGCCAGCUAACCCACUGGCUGACAAUCAGAAUAUCCAAAGAUCUUGAUGGGCGCGAACACUGGACCAAAGCAAAGAAGUUGAAAUUUAACAGGGAUGAAUAUAAAGCCUUAUUCUUGUGUUAAAAAAAAAUUUGUGUCCCAGGUACUAGAUAGUGGAGACAUGGUCAGAUAGAGCUUUGUUAAAGGAUCAGUUGGUGGGGGAACUAUUAGACUCAAAAAAUUAAAAUGAAUCAGCAAUGUGAUUGGUCAACUCCAAAAGCCAAUGUGAUCUUGGGCUGCUUUAAGAGAGGUAUAGUUUAGGGGAAGCCAGAGUCAGAAGAACCUGGGCUCAAAAGUGGCCUAAGACCCUUCCUAGUUGUAUGACCCUGGACAAGUCACUGAACCCCCAUUACCUGGCCCUUGCCACUCUUCUGCUUUAGAAUUGAUACUUAGUCUGAAUUCUAAGAUAGAAGGUAAGAGUUUAAAAAGAGAGAGGGAGAGAGAAAGAAAGAAAAAGAGAAAGAAAGAAAGAAAGAAAGAAAGAAAGAAAGAAAGAAAGAAAGAAAGAAAGAAAGAAAGAAAGAAAGAAAGAAAGAAAGAAAGAAAGAAAGAAAAAGAA